rnacentral:rRNA from 1 species
AGCGAACGCUGGCGGCAGGCCUAAUACAUGCAAGUCGAGCGGCCGUAGCAAUACGGCAGCGGCAGACGGGAGAGUAACACGUGGGAACGUACCCUUCAGUUCGGAACAACCCAGGGAAACUUGGGCUAAUACCGGAUACGUUCGUAAGGAGAAAGAUUUAUCGCUGAAGGAUCGGCCCGCGUCUGAUUAGCUAGUUGGUGAGGUAACGGCUCACCAAGGCGACGAUCAGUAGCNGGUCUGAGAGGAUGAUCAGCCUCACUGGGACUGAGACACGGCCCAGGCUCCUACGGGAGGCAGCAGUGGGGAAUAUUGGACAAUGGGCGAAAGCCUGAUCCAGCAAUGCCGCGUGAGUGAUGAAGGCCUUAGGGUUGUAAAGCUCUUUUACCCGGGAUGAUAAUGACAGUACCGGAGAAUAAGCUCCGGCUAACUCCGUGCCAGCAGCCGCGGU